CGAGUCAUCUACAUUUAGCAUUUUUUUUACAAUUUUAAAAUAAUAUUGAGAUAUUGAUUUACUUAUGCAUUCACCCCUAUAUACUUAGUAAAAUGUAGAAACACUGAUCCACAUAUACGUGUAUAUGCUACAUUAUCUCAUAAUGUAGGUUCAGGUGUUCAUCUCAAUAGUGUAAGUGAUUUCGAGCAUCUACAUCUACUUCCCAACAGUUGGUGAGUCC
rnacentral:lncRNA from 1 species